GACGUAGGGGUCGAGCGUUGUCCGGAGUUACUGGGCGUAAAGCGUGUGCAGGCGGCUCAUUGCGCCCGGCGUGAAAGCCCCCGGCUCAACCGGGGAGAGUCGUCGGGGACGGGUGAGCUUGAGGGUAUCAGGGGCUGGUGGAAUUCCCGGUGUAGUGGUGAAAUGCGUAGAUAUCGGGAGGAACACCCGUGGCGAAGGCGGCCAGCUGGGAUACACCUGACGCUGAGACACGAAGGCGUGGGGAGCGAACGGG
rnacentral:rRNA from 1 species